rnacentral:tRNA from 1 species
GCCGGGAUGGCGGAAUGGUAGACGCAGUGGACUCAAAAUCCACCGGGAGCAAUCUCAUGGGAGUUCGAGUCUCCCUCCCGGCACCA